AUAAGCGGAGGAAAAGAAACUAACAAGGAUUCCCUUAGUAACUGCGAGUGAAGAGGGAAGAGCUCAAAUUUAAAAUCUGGCAGUGUUUUGCUGUCCGAGUUGUAAUCUAGAGAAGUGCUGCCCGUGCUGGACCAUGUACAAGUCUCCUGGAAUGGAGCGUCACAGAGGGUGAGAAUCCCGUCUUUGACAUGGACUACCAGUGCAUUUGUGGUGUGCUCUCAAAGAGUCGAGUUGUUUGGGAAUGCAGCUCUAAAUGGGUGGUAAACUCCAUCUAAAGCUAAAUAUUGGCGAGAGACCGAUAGCGAACAAGUACCGUGAGGGAAAGAUGAAAAGAACUUUGGAAAGAGAGUUAAACAGUAUGUGAAAUUGUUGAAAGGGAAACGCUUAAAGUCAGUCGUGUCGGCCAGGGAUCAACUCAGCUUUMUCUGCUGGGUGUACUUCCUGAUCUGAUGGGCCAACAUCAGUUUUGACUGCUGGAGAAGGGCAGAGGGAAUGUGGCACCUUCGGGUGUGUUAUAGCUCUCUGUCAGAUGCAGUGGUUGGGACUGAGGAAAGCAGCAUGCCGCAAGGCCGGGUCGUUUCGACCACGUUCAUUGCUGAGGAUGU
rnacentral:rRNA from 1 species